AUACACGUCUACGUGGGCACCAAUAUUUCCCCAAUCACAUGGAAACCCACAUGUCUUGACGAUUUUUUUUCAUUGUUUUUUUCUUAUUAAUGCAUUUUCAAAAAAUUUUAAGAGUGAUUUGUAGAAAUAACCAAUUUUGAAAUAGUUAUUAAAUUUAUAGUAUCAUAAAUUUGGAAAUUAAGUGAGUAGCAUAAGUAGUACUUGAAAAUACAUAAAAAAUCUUAUUACAAAAAACAAUGAGGCGUACGUGAGGCUCUGAGAACUAAAGAGAGGAGAGUGGAGAGAGAGGAGAGAAAGAGAGAUACGUUGGAAAGAGAUAGAAAGGAAGAAGAAAAAAUUAAAUUUUAAUAUAAUGUAUAAGAAAUCCAAAACAACAAAAGUUUCAGAUUUCUCAUUUUAAAUUCUAUUGCAUUCAAUGAACCUUUAAUCCAAUUUUAACAGUGACAAAAAGAAACGAUGGCUCAAGCAAGAGAGGAAGAAGAAAAAGAAGGAAGUGAAGUCAAUUAAAAAAAGGGAAGAAGAAGAAGAGCGUGAACUUCAAACAGAAGCUACAAAUGUCUUUAUUACAUAUAUUAUACUAAAUAUUGCUUUGUUUUUUUUGAAGUGAUAGUUUGUUAAUUAUUGAUUUUUAAUCUUUAGAUGUUUUUACAUUUUAGUUAUAACCUUCAGGAUAGAAUCAUAAUUUUAUGAUUCUAUCCCGUUGUUUUAAUUAUCAAAGUUCUUUUUGUGAUCUUUAU
rnacentral:sRNA from 1 species